UCGCGCGAGCAGACGCAAGGUCACCGCGUCACAGGAGGGAGGAGGAAACGCGCCCGCCGCUUUUGAAUCUCAGCUACAUUCAGCAUACCUGCUAAAUAAGCACUUCUUUAGAAUAUAUAUAGUGUACAGAUCAAAAGUUUGGUUUGGACACACCUUCUCAUUCAAAGAGUUUUCUUUAUUUUCAUGAAUAUGAAAAUUGUAGAUUCACACUGAAGGCAUCAAAACUAUGAAUUAACACAUGUGGAAUUAUAUAUGGAAUUAUAUACAUAACAAAAAAGUGUGAAACAAUUGAAAAUAUGUCAUAUUGUAGGUUCUUCAAAGUAGCCACCUUUUGCUUUGAUUACUGCUUUGCACACUCUUGGCAUUCUCUUGAUGAGCUUCAAGAGGUAGUCACCUGAAAUGGUCUUCCAACAGUCUUGAAGGAGUUCCCAGAGAGAUGCUUAUCACUUGUUGGCCCUUUUGCCUUCUGUCUGUGGUCCAGCUCACCCCUAAACCAUCUCCAUUGGGUUCAGGUCCGGUGACUGUGGAGGCCAGGUCAUCUGGCGCAGCACCCCAUCACUCUUCUUCUUGGUCAAUUUAGCCCUUGAUGCCUUCAGUGUGACAUAGUCAUGAAAAUAAAGAAAACGCUUUGAAUGAGAAGGUGUGUCCAAACUUUUGGUCUGUACUGUAUAUAUAGAGAUUUUUUAAAUAGCCUACUUCUGCUACAAUGCCCACUGUUUGUAGGUUCUUUUUAGGGCUAACAGGGACAUGGGGACGAGAUCGGGAAAGGUCCUCCAGCCAGGAUUCGAACUCGGGACAUCCCUUGCUCAGUGGCGCUAGCUACACUGUAGGAGCGCUGCCCACAAGUAUAACAAAGCAUCAUAGUCCUUCCAGUUUCUCCCUGGAAUCUGUCACCUGUCCACCAACCAAAAGAUCUGCCAUUGAGACCCUAUGCAUUAUGGGAGGCUCUUGAAGAUGUCUGUGAUCCUGUUGGCAAUAAGGCUGCUUGGCUUCAAUCCACAUCCUCUGUGAGAAAAAGCAACUUAUUUGCGUAAAAAGUGGUUUAUCAGUCUCACUUCUGUUAUUUUUCUAAAGUCAUAUGCAGUCAGCACUUUUACAAAUGAGCACAUGAAAUUUAAAAAGUUAAAAAAUAACUAUAUGCCUUGUUCAAUAAUUGAUUUGAAGCAGUUAUCAUUCUAAAACACAAAAUGUACCUCUACUGUAAGAAGUGUGCAUGAAGCUGCACAUAUGAAAAAUAUGACUAUAUAUUUAUUUAUCGUUACAUCUGGAGGCGUAUAAAUAACCAUAAAAUCUUACUUUGUUACUUUAUAUAGCCCUCAUAUGCAUAUGAUAGGCUGGUAUAUAGCAAAAAACAAUUAAGCUAUAAGCUGAGUCCAAAUGUUGUUGUAAGAGAAGAAAUCUAUAAAAAUGUAUGGAAUAUUAGAGGAUAGAAAAAUAAAUGUUUACCCUUAAACUCUAUAUUCAUGGUAAUGUAUUCCUGGAAAAUUAUGGUGUUUAAGAGUUUAUAUAAAUUUAAAGGAAUUGCCUGGUUUUCCCAGUUUAUUUCUAUUAAUAGCUAGAUUUCUAGGAAUCACAUUGAACUAGUUACAUAACAUUUACGUUUGACCCCAAUCUAGCGACCGAUUGCAUCAGUGAUAUGAUUUAGGUUAUGAAACAUCUAUUGUCACACUGGAACAAUUACUGGAUACAUAUUGCUGACUUUGUUUGGGAAAUAUUAAACAAAAUAACUCACAAUUUACCUCAUCACAUUGUAGACACUUCCUUUAUGAAAGUGUGCCAAUGUACUUGCAAUCUGACUUUAUCUUGGUCUAAAAAUGAUGAUAAUAUUUAGAUUCUUUUUCAUAGUUUUUCUCAGAUAAAUCUGAACACAAUGCCUUCUUUAGUGACUGAAGCAAAGCUGGAAGAAUAAAAAACAAUAAACAAUUGUCGAUAGUCAUAAAAUUCACUCCUUUUUUUGUUUCAUUGCUACAAGUGAUUGCAAUUGUUUGAUUUCUGAAGAGAAUAACUCUCUUAUCUUACGUGGGUGUAGCAUAGCUAUAAAAGAUCUGUAUGAGAAAUCAUUAUGCAUCCAGUUCCACAAUCCAAAUCAAUUUUUCCUGAAUUUUCUGAGGCAGCAUUAGGAUGCUGUUCCCUUUCUGAGGUAAUCGGCAUAUAAAUAAAAGGAUUCCCAUGUCAUCUUGCAUCUUUUACUCAGAUUAUCCCAUUGAAUUCCCACCUGGAUGAAAAACUAACGUUCACGUAGCCUGUAUGUUUUAGUUUUAUCAAUGCUCUGAGGUUCCCUCGUCUCCCAGAAGCGUUUGAUAGGAAGUGUUUGCUUGUUCAGUGUUUAAAUAUUUAUUCCUUUUAUGGUCAUUUGUAUGUUUUGGCACUACACGUUUGUUUGCGGCUAACAGAAUCGUGGUCUUGUGGGAUACAGAGGCCAGGAUCGGAAUGUUCCCGUAGCUUAAUUGUUAUGUCAUUAAAAAUAAAUUCAUUUUCUGCAUCUCCCGCUGAUCCUUUUGGCUUAACUUAACAUUCUUGAACUCCCAUAAACCA